rnacentral:sRNA from 1 species
AUUUAAAAAUUGUCCUUUUUUAUAUCGCUAAAUUAUAGAUUUAAGACUACAUAUAUCUUGCAGGAAAUAUUCCUUUAGUCUUGUGGUUAAAUCCAUUUGAUUCCGCUUUUUCCACCAGAGUUUGACUCCACUAAAUCGUGUUAUCUUGCAUAAUAGAUAUUGGCUAUAGAAUAGACCAUGUCAAUCCAAAGAUGUUAAAAACAAAAGACUACAACAUAUGCAAACAUGAUAUUAAAGACUUAAGUGAGU